CGGCGACUCGAAUGCGAUUGACUUGCAACCGGGCUGAACAUCCCCACCACUGCAUAAUUCGCUCGGUGAGACAAACAGCGGCGCGGUGUGGCAUUCGUAGGUCGAAGAUCGCGUCGUUAAAACGUAUCAACUCGCGACAGGUUAUUGGCGUCAGUUAAGAAGACAUAUUGGCGCCAAGAAACAGGAAUUCAAAUAUGGACGCCAUAACGGUCAAAAUUUAAUUUAAUGGUUUUUCAUGGAGAUGGAUAAGUUUAUAUUGCCCUUUCAUUGAAUCAUUGAUCUGUCCCAUUGUCUACCACUUACCAGUUCUUCGAGAGGAUCUAAUGAUGCUUCAAAAGCCAAGUAUAUUUUUCACACCCUCCACUUCUUCCAUGGGCUUUGAUGGUUCUUCCUUGAUGAUGUCUUCUAGACUAUUGCAGCGGUGCUGACAACGUCCUACGCAUUUAAUUUUUGUUUCAGAAACCAAUCAUGGAAUCAACGACAGAAGACUAGGAUCUCCUAUAUCCCUUUCCUUCUCUAUAUUAUAUUCAGAUUGUUAGAUAGAUAGAAACCAUAAAAGAAUUAUUAGGUCUCUAUAUACGUACGUGUAUAGAGUCUGAAUAAAACUUUUAGACUUGUAUUGCGUAGGGACUGUACGAAAUCUCUAGUUGAUCAGUGAUAGAAUUAGUAAGGCGAAAAACAUGUUUCAAAGUUCGUGAAAAAUAUUCAAUAUUUUGAAAGAUACGUUUGUUCCAUGCAAUAUCCCUUUCCCGUCCCUUAUUACAGUCAGAUAUUUAUAGGAUUUAUCGAAAUUAUUAAAUUGACGAUAGAUAGGAUAGUUUAGAUUUAUAACUAGGAUUAGGUUUAGAUUUAUAAUUAUUGUUUUAAAAAAAUCUUAGUACUAAGUAUGGGUAUUUAAUUUUGCUUAUUGGUAAUUAGUUGCAUGGAUGUAGUUGACGUAGUAGAAAAGGUAGUUCGCGUCUAUUUAAGUUUAAUAAAUGUAACUCUUUGUGAGACGUAUUUAAUUUUAUUUUUGUCUUUUUCCUUGAUGUUCUUUUUAACUCUCGAUUAUCCUACGCCUUUCUUUGCAAUGAAAGUAAAAUAUGAAAGUAAAACUUUUGAUAUAUUAUAAACCCACAUAGUGUUACAUCAUUAGUUUAAAAUUUAAUUUAAUUUUCUAUUUUUAUGAUUAAUUUCCAACUUUUACAUUCAGGAAAAAGAGAAUUCGUUUGUAAAUUGAUGUUUUAAAUAAACUUUUGUUCGUAAAAGGAGGGUGGAUAGGAUGUGGUUAGGGUGGGUCUCCGCACACAGAAACCUCCACGCGGUGAGACCUGGGCAAUAUUAUUUGAUAUAAAAUUACUAAAUGUAUCAUUAUAUGUUACGAUUAUUAUUUAUAUAGGAAAUAAUAUGAGCUA